rnacentral:rRNA from 1 species
GUCGAACGCUGGCGGCGUGCCUAAUACAUGCAAGUCGAACGCAGUGGGGACGGGUGAGUAACACGUGGGUAACCUCCCAUCAGAGGGGAUACCACUUGGAAACAGGUGCUAAACCGAUACUGAUGGAUGGACCCGCGGUGCAUUAGCUAGUUGGGGAGGUAACGGCUCACCAAGGCCACGAUGCAUAGCCGACAGGAGAGGAGGAUCGGCCACACUGGGAAUGAGACACGGCCCAGACUCCUACGGGAGGCAGCAUUAGGGAAUCUUCGGCAAUGGAAGAAAGUCUGACCGAGCAACGCCGCGUGAGUGAAGAAGGUUUUCGGAUCGUAAAGCACUGUUGUUAGAGAGGCGGUAUCUAACCGGAAAGCCACGGCUAAAUACGUGCCAGCAGCCGCGGUAAUAC